rnacentral:rRNA from 1 species
GGUUAAGCGACUAAGCGUACACGGUGGAUGCCCUGGCAGUCAGAGGCGAUGAAGGACGUGCUAAUCUGCGAUAAGCGUCGGUAAGGUGAUAUGAACCGUUAUAACCGGCGAUUUCCGAAUGGGGAAACCCAGUGUGAUUCGUCACACUAUCAUUAACUGAAUCCAUAGGUUAAUGAGGCGAACCGGGGGAACUGAAACAUCUAAGUACCCCGAGGAAAAGAAAUCAACCGAGAUUCCCCCAGUAGCGGCGAGCGAACGGGGAGCAGCCCAGAGCCUGAAUCAGUGUGUGUGUUAGUGGAAGCGUCUGGAAAGGCGCGCGAUACAGGGUGACAGCCCCGUACACAAAAAUGCACAUGCUGUGAGCUCGAUGAGUAGGGCGGGACACGUGGUAUCCUGUCUGAAUAUGGGGGGACCAUCCUCCAAGGCUAAAUACUCCUGACUGACCGAUAGUGAACCAGUACCGUGAGGGAAAGGCGAAAAGAACCCCGGCGAGGGGAGUGAAAAAGAACCUGAAACCGUGU